rnacentral:rRNA from 1 species
UACGGAGGAUCCGAGCGUUAUCCGGAUUUAUUGGGUUUAAAGAGCGCGCAGGUGGUUGAUUAAGUCUGAUGUGAAAGCCCACGGCUUAACCGUGGAGGGUCAUUGGAAACUGGUCGACUUGAGUGCAGAAGAGGGAAGUGGAAUUCCAUGUGUAGCGGUGAAAUGCGUAGAGAUAUGGAGGAACACCAGUGGCGAAGGCGGCUUCCUGGUCUGUAACUGACACUGAGGCGCGAAAGCGUGGGGAGCAAACAGGAUUAGAUACCCU